UUAAUUUGUCUGUCAGUUUGUUCGUGUUGUAGCCUGUUAACAGUAGACCAAAGGUAUGAUGAUCAAUUAUAAAUGCAAUAUGGUUGAAAGGUCAGUAAACAAACAACAAAAAGGUAAUUUCUUAAUAGAAUGUCUAUACAUUUUUUGCUUUUGUUACAUAUUUCAUACAUCAAAAUCAUUAAACGUUAAUAAUUAUGUAUUCCAACUUGUUGCAGCUUGACAAAAAUGUAGCUUGAAGGAGAAGGGACAGCUGAGUAACAAAGUCCUGGUACGCAGACGACGAUACUAUUACACUGACAAUAGUAUAAUGAUGAUGGAGACACAAGCCAGAGAAAGGGGGGACCAAACACCAGGCCAGAAUUCUGCAUGAGUCAGAUCCAGUGGGUGCAGAUCAUCAUACAGAUGGUUCAAGUGUGGAUCCACCUAAUAUUCAAGAUUUUCUGUCCUGGGACACUCGGCUAACCAUCAAGAAAGAACACACUCCAGUGGGCAUCCUUUAUCCAUCCAGACCCUCAUACAGAUGGUUGGAGUUUUGAUUCACCUAAAGUACCAUGCAAGAGCACUCAUUUUCCCUCUUGAGACCAUGGUGUGACCUGCAAGAUCGAAUGGAGACUGUAGACGAGACAAUCUUGGAGUCACCUGCUUUCCCUGGUCCAGUUGUUAGUCCAAUUACAGAUGGAGAUUAUAGAAGAGGAUGAUGUCUUUUCUCCAACAUCUUUCUAGACUGAUAAAAGAUCUAGACAGGCUCAAACAAAAGUUAACAGACAGAGGGGCUUAUAUAGAGAAUGGUGAGCAGCUACACAUAAAAGAAGAACAUGGAGAAUCUGCCCAGAGGUGUUAACCAGCAAUGCAGCUAUACAACUAAAUUGAUGCAGGCGGAAACAAUGUGUAAUGCAGCUGCUGCAGAUGAAGAAUCCGUCCGUCUACCACUGAAGGAGACGCGGAAAAUUCCAUCCAAGAUGUUCUUUGCCAGAGGAAGCAUUUGAUUAAUUUAAAGAUAUUGUGUUUCUUUGUAUGUUAUAGAAAAACGUUGCUUUUUUUGCAUACACUCGUGUAAAUAUGCAUCUUAUGAAUGUUUUCCUUUGUCUAAUUUUAAUAAAUUUUACGCAA